rnacentral:rRNA from 1 species
AGGAUUAACGCUGGCGGCGUGCCUAACACAUGCAAGUCGAACGAAAUAUCUUCGGAUAUUUAGUGGCGAACGGGUGAGUAAUGUACAGGUAAUGUACCUUCGUACUGCGAAUAACAAGCUGAAAAGUUUGCUAAUACGGAAUAGUUUCAUUAGGGGGCAUCCUUUGAUGAAUAAAGAUUUAUCGUGCGGAGAUCAGCCUGUAUCCUAUUAGUUAGUUGGUGGGGUAAUGGCCUACCAAGACGACGAUGGGUAACUGGUCUGAGAGGAUGAGCAGUCACAUUGGAACUGAGAUACGGUCCAAACUCCUACGGGAGGCAGCAGUGAGGAAUUUUGCGCAAUGGGGGAAACCCUGACGCCAGCAACGCCGCGUGAGUGAAGACGGCCUUCGGGUUGUAAAGCUCUGUCGUGUAUGACGAGUAGGGACGGUAAUACACAAGGAAGCCUCGGCUAACUACGUGCCAGCCGCGGC